rnacentral:rRNA from 1 species
GACGAACGCUGGCGGCGUGCUUAACACAUGCAAGUCGAACGGAAAGGCCAUGCUCUUGUGGGGCGCUCGAGAGGCGAACGGGUGAGUAACACGCGAGUAACCUGUCCUUGACAUUGGGAUAACUCCAGGAAACUGGGGCGAAUACAGGAUAGGAGAUCCUGAUGCAUGGUGGGGGUUGGAAAGAUACGGCGGUUGGGGAUGGACUCGCGGCUUAUCCGCUUGUUGGGGGGGUAGUGGCUGACAAAGGCUUCGACGGGUAGCCGGCCUGGGAGGGUGAACGGCCACAAUGGGACUGCGAGACGGACCAGUCGCCUACGGGAGGCAGCAGUGGAGAAUAUUGCACAGUGGGCGGAAGCCUGAUGCAGCGACGCCGCGUGCGGGAUGACGGCCUUCGGGUUGUAAACCGCUUUCGCCUGUGACGAAGCGUGAGUGACGGUAAUGGGUAAAGAAGCACCGGCUAACUACGUG